UUUCCUUUCCUUUCCUUUCCUUUCCUUUCCUUUCCUUUCCCUUCCCUCUUUCUCUUUUAAACGUGGACAGCCUGGUCUGAGCGUGCAGAGCUGUGGCUUCCACUUCUGUGGAUGCCUUCUGAACAGCAGAUCUGACUUCCUCCUCAAACCAAGGCAUCCUGAAAGCAUCCAGGCAGAGGAAGCAUUUUUUCACCAUGACAUGGGAAAGGGCCACAGAGAUCCAAAUGGAAACGGACAUUUCAUGUGUAUGUUGUUACUCGACUCAACAUUUAACCCCUUAUUGCAUCAGAAAGUAUGCUGAAAUUUCAGUAGGAAGAAAUGCUUCUACCAAAUGCAGAAUACAAAAAUGACUCCAGCGAGAAGGAGGAAAAGACAACAGAAUAAGCCUUUCCUUCUGAGCUGCUGAAAUGCCCCAUCUUUCUGGAAUUGCAUUCAGAGUAAGGAUUUUGCAUGAAAGAGCUUCAGGAAGUUACAAAACUCCUUUACAUGGCCUGUUGGAUCUGUGUACAAUUUCCAGCAUUACCCAGAAUAAAUACCAGGAGACUGGUGUGGUUUAUACAAGAGUUUAUAGAGAAAAAAAAUCCACCCACUAGCUCCCAUGCUGAGGAUUACAACCAGGUCCCUACUGCCAAGUUUUGUGUUUAGGUAAAGCAUGAGAAAAUCUGCCAUUUUUUGGAAAGUCACAAAAGGGUUUCUAUAGUAAGGAGUGGUAAGAAGCUGACAGCUUUUUAUGCAUAAAAGGCAGCUGUUCCUUCUCAGGUAAUAUUAUUAAUAAACCCUAAGGUAAUGUUUGCUCUGAAAUAUGUCUAAUUGAAAUAAUUUACUCUGACCCUCGGAGAAUUAUGAAACUGUUUUCAUCAUGUUCACACACAGCAAAAUAAUUAUGAGAUGCCAUAUGGAAAAGCCAUCAUGUGGUAGAUGUCUUUCUGAAUCUAUAUUUCUGAAAUGUUUCCCACAGAUAAAUCAUAUAGCUAAUUCACAAAGUAGAGGUGAACAGUCCCUUUUCCACGUGGAGAUUUGAUGUGAAAUGUUUGCAGUUCCAGAAUAUUAACAGGGGUGUUGACAUCAGUAAUUACUACAGUUAUGAGACAUUUCUCACAAAGUAUUAUGACAGCAAUACUUGGUCACACAGGGAGAAAAAAGGUAUGAGACUCUAUACACAGCAUUUGAAAUAUUUAGGUACCUUUAGUCCCAGAAAACUGUGGGCAUAUUGGUGCCUGAGGUACUUUUUGCCUUUAGCAUAAAAUCUGUCUGGAAAGUUCCAGCAGUUUCCACUGAGAUAGCACAUUUGGCAAGAUGAGCCUGAGCGUGGUAUGUAAGGACUUUCGGGAAAACUUGUCAGCUUUCACAGGGAAAGGUCCAAGUGUUUAUGGGAACUAUGAAGUGGUGUUGGGUGGCUCUCAAAGGGAUUUGUGGGGUCAUUUGGGACAGGGAUUUGAAAGCUUUUUGAUUGAAGCUCUUCUGAACUUAUCAAAAUGGUUAAAAGUCUGGCUGUGAGUCUCAUGAGAGCAGACUUUCUUGUGAAAUUUCUGGUAUGGUACUUUCCUGCUGGGGUGAGAAAAUCUUAGUAGGACAGACUUUCUCACCGUAUUUUAAUUCUUGAGAUCUGUGUCCCUGUUAAACCCAGGAAAUGGAGAGUCACAGGAAACUGAGCUUUACUUGAAACCUCCGGUAAGUUAAGAUUCAGAUUUCUCUAGAGUUUCAAUUGUUUAAAUCAACUUGUUCUAUUUCCUGACAAUACCCCUCCGCCCGCCCCCCCCCCCGCCCCCCACCAAAAAAAGUGGGAUGCAAGAAAAAAAACACAUAAAAAGAAGAUUUUUUUAAAAGUGUGAUUCACUUUUCCAUAACAUUCCAGUUUGUCCAGAUUCAUAUUAAAUUAAAAAAAAUUGAUAAGUAAAGUAAAACCGGUUAACCCUGUGCAUUUCCUACCUGGAGAAAUAUCAAAAGCCUCCUUGACCCUUAACAUUGUCACUGUUUAGAAGGAUCUCCAUUUCCAAAGCCCAUGACUGGAUUUCAGAACAUUCAGUCACAGUUGAAACAAAUGAGCAUUUUCUUCUUGUAACAGCUCUUUUGAGGCAGACACUGGGAUGCAGAUUGUGAGUCUGGCCAGGCAGUGUCAUCCUCACAAUUAGCUAAUAUUUGGCACAUUGAUAGCCUAGUUCCGUCCCCUCGGGGCCUUGCAGGAGCCUCCCAUUUGUUUACAGCCUCAUCUUACUUCAAUUCUCGGCAUGCAAUUAUCCUGAAACUUGCAAGGAAAAACAAAUUUACAUAACAGCUCAUGGAUGUAUGUGCGCUUUACAAAUAUUUACAAGGUUUUUAAAGAAACGCAUGACAGACACUUUUUUCACUUCUCCAAAAUUACAGUUCUACCUUCAACAACAGAACAUGGGAUUAAAAAAAUAGUGAGACGCAAAACUGGAAACUGGACAAAACGAUGAAACCGCUGUUGUGUUCUAAUAUAUUUUAGGUCAGAUUCUUGUACUUCCCAUUUUUAAACAACUGCCAAGCAUUUGUUUUUAUAUCUCCUAGACAUCUGUGCUAUUGGUGAGUACUAUUUCUAGCUAUUGACUGUCCUAAAAUAAAGGUAACAUUUCUGGGUGAUUUAUAGUCUAUCAUUAUUACAGUGCAGCCUCUGAAUGCAUGAACUAGAGAUUUACUGCACGCUUGUGUCUUAUCCCCGACUCAUGUAAUAGAGGAAAGGUAAAAUGUCUUGGCUUCGUGAUGGCUCCCUUCUUCAAGCAGCUGUCUUUUUUGGUGUGGUGCUUGCAGCUUGAUUAAACUACAUCGAGAAGGUCAGUGACCAAAGUUUGCCUUUAACCGUUUCCCAUAACGUGUAUUCCUCAUAGGGAGCUCUUCUCAGCGCAGGUUAUUUCCAGCAAUGUUCUCAAACCGAAAGAAUGGUAUUUGCAGUAAACCAACACAUUCCCACUUUCUAUCCUUUAUCUCACACGUAAGCGAUGACAGCAUUUAUAUUUCAUCUGCUGACUGGGCCAAGAACACUGGAUAAGACAGUUUCUUUUUCAUAAGUGUAUUAUACUCUUUCUUUGACCUUUCAAGACAUGGGAAGCUUUGGUUUCCUAAGACCUCUUGGGAGGGGAAUUCCCCAAACCCAUUCCUCUCCAUUUCUCACUGCUUUUUCCCCUACACACACAGCCAGCUAUCAGUGGGAAUAAUGCAUUCAGUAUACACACACACGCACAUACACACACCAAUCUCAAACACAUUUACUGGAAACCUAGAGUAUAUAGCAGAAGUAUAGAGAAAAGCUAUGCUAUGGGAUUGGAUUCCCACAUUAUGUCACACUCCACAAACGUUUCUGGAAGACACGAUCACUAAAAGGUUAGCUAAAUUAAAAAAUAUGUUCAAGAGAACAUAGUAGUUAACCCUAAGUGAGUGAAACUUUGGAAUGACAUUUUGACACUUAAUUUCCUUUUCCAAAAUAUAGCAGUGAUAUUUUCAAGUUUUAUUACCCAUUCUUGUUUAAUAAUAGUUCCUGAGUUCUGACUAUGUUUUAUUUGUGAAUGAUUGAUGAUUAUUUAAGUAUAGAAAUAUGGGAAUAUCACUAAAUUCACAAAGCCAAAUCCUAACGAAUACUUCUUUUACAUCCUUCAGUUGUGUACCAAAGUGCUAACAAAUUUCUACUUUAGAUGCCAUGAUUUCUUUCUGGGGUCAGUAGGACUGCCUGUUUUUUCCCCUUUUUUCCAUCUGAUGAAAUUUAGUUGAGACUAAAGCAGCAAAUUGAUGAUGUCUUAAAAGAAAAUGUUGACUGAGGGCAAUCUUUCAAGCUGUUGGUAAGUGCGAUUGGUUGUUGGGUAACUAGAUUUCCCAUUGCUCUCAGAGUAUUAAAAUAUGCACCUAAAUAUUGCCUCAAGUUUUUGCUGUUUAGACGCUCACUUCGUUUUGUCACCUCAAAAUAAGGUAAGAUGCUUUUUAGUAAACUGAAGCAGUCGGUCAAUUAAUUUUGUUCUGUGGGAAUAUAGUUUAAAUGGAUAUAUUCCUAGAAACUCCAUCCGACCCACCCCCCAGCCACUGUGGGCUAAGAACCACAAAUAAAGCUGGAAUCUGACCACUCUGAUGUUAACUGAAAGUGAAAAAGAGGACGUAGAACUUAAGGAUGGCAUUCAGGAGCCUAGAGUUUUCCACAAAUCUCUUGAUUCCACUAGCCAUCUGCCAACUAAAGAAAUCCAUUUGGCAAUCCUACAGGGAUCUCAUGAUGAACCCGUCUAAAGUGGAAUGUUUAAUUCUUACCUCCAAGUUGUUCCUCCCGUAUCUAGUGCAUCUUAAUAAAUAAUGGCAUUAAUAAUGCAGAUGCUCAAAAUAGAAAACCAAGCAUGUUCCUUGAUGCCUCCCUUCCUUAUCACCUACAAUUUACAUAUCUUCUAACCAGUCCAAAUCUCUUGAUUCCUACUACUAGCACCCUAGUUCCCUAAUUUAAACCACCAUCAUCUUUCACCUGAACUCCUGAGAUUGACUCAGUCAGGGUCAAGUGAGGAAAACAGUCAGUGCCUGGUAGCUGGACAUUAGGAGUAUAAAGCUUCUUAUCAAAUUAUUAGAAAAACUGAAAAGCCGAACAAUGAUGGAAUACCAGCCCUAGCAUUAGCUAUACCAGUAAAGCACUUCCAUCCAGGACUGGAGAGCAGAGGGAGGAUAUGACAUUAAAAGAGCCAAUGGGGGUGCCUAGGUGGCUCUGACUCUUGGUGUUGGCUCAGGUCAUGAUCUCACAGUUCCUGAGAUUGAACCCCGCAUUGGCUUCUUUGCUAACAGCUCAGAGCCUGAUUGGGAUUCAAUAUCUCUCUCUCUCUCUCUCUCUCUCUCUCUCUCUCUCUUUCUCUCUCUUUCUCUCUCUCUGUCCCUCCCCAGCUUAUGUACAUGCAUGCACUCUCUCUCUGAGUAAAUGAAUAAACUUAAAAAAAAAAAAAGAGCCAUUGGAGCAGAGCUGCUGAGAAGGAGGUAAAAUCAUGGUGAGAAGGGCUGGGUGCCUGGGUGGCUCAGUCAGUUAAGCAUCCAACUUCGGUUCAGGUCAUGAUCUCAUGGUUGUGGGUUCGAGCCCCACAUCAGGCUCUGUGCUGACAGUUCAGAGCCUGGAGCCUGCUUCGAAUUCUGUAUCUCUCGCUCUCUCUGCCCCUCCACAACUUGUGCUCUGUCUCUUUCAAAAAUAAAUAAAACAUUAAAAAAAAAAAGAAUUAGAACCAUGAAACAAUGGGGGAGAGUUGGUGUGGUAGGCUUGACUUUCUCCUUCCUUGGGCCGCAAACUCAUAUUAUAGCUUCCCAUUUACCCUACCUAGCUAUAAGUCAAUUGACGAAAGUAGCUUUGGAGAUGUCUGCAAAAAGCCAAUUCCUGGAGAGCAGAGUAAGGGCAGAGAAUGAAUCUAUGAGCACAAGUACAAACAAGUGUCACACAGUUUACCUCUUUUGCUAUACACCAGGUAUUCUCCCCAACCAUAUAUAACUUAUUCCCACACAACAAUUACAUGUUGCCAUCUAACAAAAUACAACCCAAAUACAAAUAAAAAUUCUCCCACUCCUCCCCCACAAAAGGGUCACUUGAAAUCUCAUUAUUUACUCUUCAUUCUCAGAGGCAAAGGUCUCUAGGUGAUAAAAUAUCUUCAUCAGGACAUCUGGAUGUCGUUCCUUAAAGUAUGGUGAUUUAUGAAUUAAAAUGAAAAUUUAAGUAUCACCGACACUCUUCUUAUAGAUAGUAAAGAAAGAGGAAAGGAUAAAAUAUGCAUAAUUUGUUAAUAUAUGCAUAACAAAAAUGAACAGAGCUGGCAUAGCCAACCCUUCUUUUUGUCUCUAAUCAUGAAAUUGCUUCCUUCACCUCUUGCCCUCAACCAGAACCUCAGUGGGUCAGGGUUCUAUAUCUGGUUGGUGACCCAAGACUUCUUUCCCAAAGAGUCUGAACACUUAGUUGUUCUGGUCUUAUUGGGCAAUUGUUUUGGAUUUGACAACUGUGUUUAAGAUUACUAAGGUGGGAAGGGUAUCCCAGUGAAUUCCAUUAUGUUUCGACAAACUGAUGUCUUGUUGGUAAGCAGGAUUAAAACCCUCAUCCCUUGUCUUUGCCUGAUAAUUUAAUGGCAGGAGAAACCCAAGCUAUCCAUGAAGUGGUGUCAACUUAGAAUUCAAUGGCAAAA